GUGUGUGAGCGCAUGCGUGUGCAUGAACACACACACACACACACACACACACACACACACACACACACACAC
rnacentral:miRNA from 1 species